rnacentral:rRNA from 1 species
GUAGGUGGCAAGCGUUGUCCGGAAUUAUUGGGCGUAAAGCGCGCGCAGGCGGUUCUUUAAGUCUGAUGUGAAAGCCCACGGCUCAACCGUGGAGGGUCAUUGGAAACUGGAGAACUUGAGUACAGAGGAGGAAAGCGGAAUUCCACGUGUAGCGGUGAAAUGCGUAGAGAUGUGGAGGAACACCAGUGGCGAAGGCGGCUUUUCUGGUCUGUAACUGACGCUGAGGCGCGAAAGCGUGGGGAGCAAACAGGGAUUAGAUACCCUGGUAGUCCACGCCGUAAACGAUGAGUGCUAAGUGUUAGGGGGUUUCCGCCCCCUUAGUGCUGCAGCUAACGCAUUAAGCACUCCGCCUGGGGAGUACGGCCGCAAGGCUA